rnacentral:lncRNA from 12 species
CAGGUCCUCUUCCGUUGGACUCAGGGCCUUUGUACAGACUGUCCUCCCCAUUAGGAAAGUUGCCUCCUCUUUUUCACCAGUCUAAAUAAUAAGGUUCUUUCAUACUUUAGCUUAGCCAUCACUUCUACAGAAAUACCUUCUCUUACUUAACUGACUAGGUCAAAUUCGCCUAUUACAUGCUGUCAUAAUACUAUUUAUUCUCCUGAGUACUAAACACCAUAGCAAUUUAUGUCAUAAGCUUGUAAAAUUUAGUAUCUAUUAUCCUACACUGUGAGUCUCUGGAAGAUACACUGAAAGCCCUAAGUAAGUAUUUAUAAAAUGAAUGAAUGAAUGAAUGCUCUCUCAGAAUAAUGAUUCCAUAAAUUGUUUGCAACAAAUUUUCCUCAUGGUCAAUAAGUAUUUGUUGAAAGACUUAAUGACUCUCACUAUGCCCACCGUUUUACCUACAAAAUAGGUGCCUACCCUGAUUACUACAUAGGAGCUUUAAAGAUAUAAAAAAUAAUCACAGUGUUUGAGAUUAAAAUGGCAUCUGUAUUAGUUUGGAUAGGCUGAGUACACUACUGAAUCGAAUAGAUGCAAACAGAGUGGCUUGCGUACAACAGAAGUUUAUAUCUUGUUUAUAUAAUUGUUCAGAACAGGUGUUCAGGUCAGCAGGCAGCUUUUCUCUGUGCAUUGAUUCAGGAAUCAAAGUUCCUCCCAUUCUGUGGCUUCCCCGUGGUCUUGUUAUCAUCUGCAUUCAGCCAGGAAAAAAGAGAAUGGAGGAAGAAUUGCUGUUCUCCAAAAAAGCUCCAGUCCCGAAGUGGCAAUCACUCUUAUUCAUCAGAAAAGCACCAGCAGGGGAUCAAAGCAAAGAAGGGGUUGCCAUGGACUGGCUGCAUUCAUAGCUCAUCCAGAGGCCACAGCUCCUGCCAGGAGGUCCUUCCUACUGUAGCUCUUUACAGAUGCUGGAAAUUGCUUCCUCCCCAGCCCCAGUAGAAUCAGUGGUGGGGUCUCCCUAUUGGCCAGCCCGAGGCAGCACAAUAAAUCACAUGUUUUCUCUAAAUUCUACCA